rnacentral:tmRNA from 1 species
GGGGGUGCACCGGUUUCGACGAUUAAGAUAAUGCUUUUACUGCAGGUAGGAUUUUCUGCAUGUUCCUUAAACAGGCAGAAAAAAAUUAACUGGCGAAUCUAAUUCACAGUUUGCUCUCGCUGCGUAAGCAGAGCACGGUAAUCUGACUGCACGGUCUUGAGCCGUCAGAAUUACUGUCACCAAACCAAGACUUGCUGCAUAUCGUGUCUGAUCUUUAUGCGGGACUUUUAAUCAGAAUACGGAGACGACGCUUGUGGUGCUGCUACCGUCUCCCGACAACUACCUCGCACCGAUAAACCUGUAGAUGUAACUGUGUUGCUUUUUCGGACGGGGGUUCAAUUCCCCCCAUCUCCAUAA